GUCUUUGUGGUGCAAUGGGUUAGCACGUUUGGCUGCUAACCAAAAGGAUGGUGGUUCGAGCCUACCCGGGGAUG